rnacentral:rRNA from 1 species
UGCCAGCAGCUGCGGUAAUACGGAGGGUGCAAGCGUUAUCCGGAAUCACUGGGCGUAAAGGGCGCGCAGGUGGUCUUUCAAGUCCGAUGUCAAAUCCCGGGGCUCAACCCCGGUCCGGCGUUGGAUACUGCUAGGCUUGACGACUGGAGAGGUGAGUGGAAUUACCAGUGUAGCGGUGGAAUGCGUAGAUACUGGUAGGAACACCCAUUGCGAAGGCAGCUCACUGGACAGUCCGUGACACUGAGGCGCGAAAGUGUGGGGAGCAAACCGGAUUAGAAACCCUAGUAGUCC